rnacentral:misc_RNA from 1 species
GAUGAAGAACGCAGCGAAUUGCGAUAAGUAAUGUGAAUUGCAGAAUUCAGUGAAUCAUCGAAUCUUUGAACGCACCUUGCGCCCCUUGGUAUUCCGAGGGGCAUGCCUGUUUGAGUGUCAUGAAUUAUCAAUCCCUCGGGUUUGUAAUGAACCCGUCGGACUUGGACUUGGGUGUUGCCGUGUCAAAGCGGCUCGCCUUAAAUUCGUAAUGGUGGUUUUGGCCUCGUGCUCAGUAUCAGACGUGAUAAGUCGUCGUCUGUUUCCGUUAGCCCUGGCCCCGCCUCACAAACCGUCCCCUCCGGGACAACCUUUUAUUCGAUCUGACCUCAAAUCAGGUAGGGCUACCCGCUGAACUUAAGCAUAUCAAUAAGCGGAGGA